AGGAUAAACGCUGGCGGCGUGCCUAACACAUGCAAGUCGAACGCGCUUUCGGGCUUCGGUGCGAGAGCGAGUGGCGGACGGGUGAGUAACACAUGGGUACCUACCUUGGAGUGAGGGAUACCGGCGAGAAAUCGCCGACAAUACCGCAUAGGCUUCUUCACAAGGGAAGCAAAGUGACGCGAGUCACGCUUUGAGAUGGGCCUGUGGCCGAUUAGCUAGUUGGGGGGGUAACGGCUUCCCAAGGCGACGAUCGGUAGCUGGUCUGAGAGGACGAUCAGCCACACUGGGAUUGAGAACGGCCCAGACUCCUACGGGGGGCAGCAGUGAGGAAUUUUCCGCAAUGGAGGCAACUCUGACGGAGCAACGCCGCGUGCAGGAGGAAGGUUUUCGGAUCGUAAACUGCUUUUCUCGGGGACGAGCAAGGACGGUACCCGAGGAAGAACGCCCGGCUAACUACGUGCCAGCAGCCGC
rnacentral:rRNA from 1 species